rnacentral:rRNA from 1 species
ACCUUCGGGCCUCUUGCCAUCAGAUGUGCCCAGAUGGGAUUAGCUUGUUGGUGAGGUAACGGCUCACCAAGGCGACGAUCCCUAGCUGGUCUGAGAGGAUGACCAGCCACACUGGAACUGAGACACGGUCCAGACUCCUACGGGAGGCAGCAGUGGGGAAUAUUGCACAAUGGGCGCAAGCCUGAUGCAGCCAUGCCGCGUGUAUGAAGAAGGCCUUCGGGUUGUAAAGUACUUUCAGCGGGGAGGAAGGUGUUGUGGUUAAUAACCGCAGCAAUUGACGUUACCCGCAGAAGAAGCACCGGCUAACUCCGUGCCAGCAGCCGCGGUAAUACGGAGGGUGCAAGCGUUAAUCGGAAUUACUGGGCGUAAAGCGCACGCAGGCGGUCUGUCAAGUCGGAUGUGAAAUCCCCGGGCUCAACCUGGGAACUGCAUUCGAAACUGGCAGGCUUGAGUCUUGUAGAGGGGGGUAGAAUUCCAGGUGUAGCGGUGAAAUGCGUAGAGAUCUGGAGGAAUACCGGUGGCGAAGGCGGCCCCCUGGACAAAGACUGACGCUCAGGUGCGAAAGCGUGGGGAGCAAACAGGAUUAGAUACCCUGGUAGUCCACGCCGUAAACGAUGUCUACUUGGAGGUUGUGCCCUUGAGGCGUGGCUUCCGGAGCUAACGCGUUAAGUAGACCGCCUGGGGAGUACGGCCGCAAGGUUAAAACUCAAAUGAAUUGACGGGGGCCCGCACAAGCGGUGGAGCAUGUGGUUUAAUUCGAUGCAACGCGAAGAACCUUACCUGGUCUUGACAUCCACGGAAGUUUUCAGAGAUGAGAAUGUGCCUUCGGGAACCGUGAGACAGGUGCUGCAUGGCUGUCGUCAGCUCGUGUUGUGAAAUGUUGGGUUAAGUCCCGCAACGAGCGCAACCCUUAUCCUUUGUUGCCAGCGGUCCGGCCGGGAACUCAAAGGAGACUGCCAGUGAUAAACUGGAGGAAGGUGGGGAUGACGUCAAGUCAUCAUGGCCCUUACGACCAGGGCUACACACGUGCUACAAUGGCGCAUACAAAGAGAAGCGACCUCGCGAGAGCAAGCGGACCUCAUAAAGUGCGUCGUAGUCCGGAUUGGAGUCUGCAACUCGACUCCAUGAAGUCGGAAUCGCUAGUAAUCGUGGAUCAGAAUGCCACGGUGAAUACGUUCCCGGGCCUUGUACACACCGCCCGUCACACCAUGGGAGUGGGUUGCAAAAGAAGUAGGUAGCUUAACCUUCGGGAGGGCGCUUACCACUUUGUGAUUCAUGACUGGGGUGAAGUCGUAACAAGGUAACCGUAGGGGAACCUGCGGUUGGAUCACCUCCUUACCUUAAAGAA